rfam:Pan troglodytes isolate Yerkes chimp pedigree #C0471 (Clint) chromosome 13, whole genome shotgun sequence.
GCUGGGCAUGGUGGCUCAUGCCUGUAAUCCCAGCACUUUGGGAGGCAGAGGUGGGUUGAUCACUUGUGGCCAGGAGUUCGAGACCAGCCUGGCCAACAUGGUGAAACCCCGUCUCUA